rnacentral:rRNA from 1 species
CGCGGCCUAUCAGCUUGUUGGUGGGGUAAUGGCCUACCAAGGCGACGACGGGUAGCCGGCCUGAGAGGGUGAUCGGCCACACUGGGACUGAGACACGGCCCAGACUCCUACGGGAGGCAGCAGUGGGGAAUAUUGCACAAUGGGCGAAAGCCUGAUGCAGCGACGCCGCGUGGGGGAUGACAGUCUUCGGAUUGUAAACCCCUUUCAGUAGGGACGAAGCGCAAGUGACGGUACCUGCAGAAGAAGCACCGGCCAACUACGUGCCAGCAGCCGCGGUAAUACGUAGGGUGCGAGCGUUGUCCGGAAUUACUGGGCGUAAAGAGCUCGUAGGCGGUUUGUCACGUCGUCUGUGAAAUCCUCCAGCUUAACUGGGGGCGUGCAGGCGAUACGGGCAGACUUGAGUACUACAGGGGAGACUGGAAUUCCUGGUGUAGCGGUGAAAUGCGCAGAUAUCAGGAGGAACACCGGUGGCGAAGGCGGGUCUCUGGGUAGUAACUGACGCUGAGGAGCGAAAGCAUGGGUAGCGAACAGGAUUAGAUACCCUGGUAGUCCAUGCCGUAAACGGUGGGCGCUAGGUGUGGGGUCCUUCCACGGACUCCGUGCCGUAGCUAACGCAUUAAGCGCCCCGCCUGGGGAGUACGG